rnacentral:rRNA from 1 species
AGCAGUAGCCGCGGUAAUACGUAGGUCCCGAGCGUUGUCCGGAUUUAUUGGGCGUAAAGCGAGCGCAGGCGGUUAGAUAAGUCUGAAGUUAAAGGCUGUGGCUUAACCAUAGUACGCUUUGGAAACUGUUUAACUUGAGUGCAAGAGGGGAGAGUGGAAUUCCAUGUGUAGCGGUGAAAUGCGUAGAUAUAUGGAGGAACACCGGUGGCGAAAGCGGCCCUCUGGCUUGUAACUGACGCUGAGGCUCGAAAGCGUGGGGAGCAAACAGGAUUAGAUACCCCCGUAGUCCCUGUCUCUUAUACA